UCCGGUUUGUCACCGGCGGUCUCCUUAGAGUUCCCACCAUUACGUGCUGGCAACUAAGGACAAGGGUUGCGCUCGUUGUGGGACUUAACCCAACAUCUCACGACACGAGCUGACGACAGCCAUGCAGCACCUGUGUUCCCGCCAGCCGAACUGAAGGGUUCCAUCUCUGGUACCCAUACGGGACAUGUCAAAGGUUGGUAAGGUUCUGCGCGUUGCUUCGAAUUGAACCACAUGCUCCACCGCUUGUGCGGGCCCCCGUCAAUUCCUUUGAGUUUCAGUCUUGCGACCGUACUCCCCAGGCGGCGAGCUUAACGCGUUAGCUUCGAUACUGCGUGCCAAAUUGCACCCAACAUCCAGUUCGCAUCGUUUAGGGCGUGGACUAC
rnacentral:misc_RNA from 1 species